rnacentral:rRNA from 1 species
UACGAAGGGGGCUAGCGUUGCUCGGAAUCACUGGGCGUAAAGCGCACGUAGGCGGAUUUCUAAGUCAGGGGUGAAAUCCUGGAGCUCAACUCCAGAACUGCCUUUGAUACUGGGAAUCUCGAGUCCGGGAGAGGUGAGUGGAACUGCGAGUGUAGAGGUGAAAUUCGUAGAUAUUCGCAAGAACACCAGUGGCGAAGGCGGCUCACUGGCCCGGUACUGACGCUGAGGCGCGAAAGCGUGGGGAGCAAACAGG